GCUAGCCUAGAAUACAGGAAGUGCUAGGUUCAAUGGGGAUGGAGGUGGGGUGGCAGGGAGAGCAAUGAGAUGAAGAACAGAAGUUACAUCCAUUGUGGAAAAUUUGAGAUAUGGGUAAAGGAGAAACCAAUACCCAUAAUCCUCUUUACAGAUGUGACUGCUCCUUUAAAAAACAAACAAACAAAACCAAAAACAACCCAAAACAGUUUAGUGUGUGUGUGUGUGUGUGUGUGCACGCGCACAUGCACCAUAGCACACAUGUGGAGGUCAGAGGACAACUUGCAGGAGUCAGUUUUAUCCCGCUGUAGUGGGACCUGGGGACAGAACUCAGACCACCAGGCUUGGCAGCAAGUGUCCUUGCUUGCUGGGUCCUCCCCUCCCCCACCUCUGGUUUUGUGUUUGUUUGUUUGUUUUUUAAAUAGAGGCCCUCACUGUCUUUUCUGCUUGGAUAUAUGGUGCAUACAGACCAGUCCACAUAUAAUUUAUUGAUUACACACGUUUUUCAUUCCCUUCCCAUUUUCCCAUGUCUCACAACCGUUUUCCUCAUUCCUCUGAGUAUUCUUUGAGCAGAUGGUUCGGCGGCUGAAUGGUUUCCAGGCUGAGGCGGACUAUACUGUGUUUAACUGUUUGCAGACUUGCGGGGCUGCAGGUUCUUUCAGCAUAGGUGACACCAUGAUGAACAGCUUUGGGCAGCAGCUUGGCUGGAUGGGUUCCUGCAGUUUAUAGAUAGCCAGAUUGAAAAUAAUUUGGUCAAAGGUCAUGAAUCCAAGUGUUAUGUAUUUAUUUUUAAGGCUUUGGGGAUAUUUUUAAAUUGGGAAAGAGAGAAACCUUCCUCCCUCUGCCCCCUGCCCUCCACCCAGAUAGGGUUUCUUUGUGUAACAUCCCUGGCUGUCCUGGAACUCACUUUGUAGACCAGGCUGGCCUCAAACUCACCGUGAUCCACCUGCCUCUGCCUCCCAAGUUCUGAGAUGAAAGCAUGUACUACCACACCUGGCUGAGAAACCUUCCCUUAAAGAAAAAUGCUUAAAGAGUAAAUGUGGGGGCAGGUGAAAUUGCUCAGUGGGUAAAGGAGCUUGUCGCUAAGCCUGCCCACCUGUGUUCGAUCCCUGGAUCCAUGUGUGGAAGGAGAGAAGUGACUCUUCACAGCUGUCCUCUGACCUCUGCAUGCAUACUGCACCGUCAUCCUCCCCAAACUCUCAUGAAUGGCUUUGCCAUCUGC
rnacentral:lncRNA from 1 species